AAAACGCAACAAAACGUAGAUCGUUCCAAUAUAAAACAUAAUAUAGCUCCUAAAAAUCAACAACAUACGAAAAAUAUAAAUUCUGUAAAAAAUACAACAAGCAAUAGUUUAUUAGUGGAGAAAGUAAAAGAACCGAACAGCUCAAAUUAUGAACAUGAUGCGGAAAAAAUGAACGAAAAAUAUGUAAUAAAACAUACAGAUGAGUGUAGUGACUUGUCAAUGGAAGAAGAAGCGUCUAUUUCUGAUGCCACUACAUCUAUUAAAAUGGAGAAAACAGAAAAUACAAUCGAGUCAACGACUGAAGUGAGUGAUAGUACUAUUAGUAGAGAAACAACGGAAGAAGAGGGUGUGAAAGUAAAAGGAAUACAAUUACCACGUACUAUAAAUAUCAUGAAGUCAAAUAAACCUACAUCAUCAUCUAAAGAAAUGAAUACACAAAAAGGAUUGGUGAAUAAAAUUGGUAAAAGAGGUUUUGGUUCUUAUAAAGCUGAUAGUACUAACAAAACGAAUAUUACUAGUAAUAACAAUAAUAACAUAAAAGAUGCAUCCCAAAUAAAAAAUAAAUACAGUUCAAAUGCGACACAGUCAUUUAGAUUGAACAAGAUAAAACAUAAUAAUAACGGCACUGACAACAACCAUAGUGGUAAUAAUAUUAGUAGAAAUAAUACCAUUGGUAAUAAUACUAAUAGCAACAAUAAUGAUAGAUUUAAUAAUAAAGAAAAAGGGAAGUUGCUCACAAAAAGGAGUGAAAUCAGUAGUAACAGUUUUGUAUUUAACAAAAAUAAAAAUAUGUUACAAAAAGAUGCGAUAAAUAAAACUAAAGUCGUUAAUUCACUUACACAAAAAUGUAUUAAUAGUAGCAGCUAUAGCAACGAUGUAACCAAUGCAAAAAUAAAUACAGCAUAUAAAAGAACAUAUACACAAUUAAAUAUGAAUAUAAAAGGGAAAAUAUUCAAUAAAGAAAAAAAUAGUAACUUAGAUGAUAGAAAGAAAAAUAUAAAUAAUAGUAAUAGUAGUAGUAAUAAUAAUAAUAAUAAUAUCAAUAGCAAUAAUAUCAAUAGUAAUAACAUGAACAAUAAAAGCAAUGAUAGCAAUAAUAUUAGUAGUAAUUAUAAAUUUAACAUGAUUACCAAAUAUAAACAAAACGAUAAGGAUAUAAUUAGUGAAGAAAUGG
rnacentral:lncRNA from 1 species